CCGGGAUAGCCCAGGGAAACCUGGAUUAAUACCGGAUGAGACGGGACCCGCGAUGGCGGGACCCGGGAAAGGCGCUGCGGCGCCGCCGGGGGAUGAGUCUGCGUCCCAUUUAGCUAGACGGCGGGGGUAACGGCCCACCGUGGCGACGAUGGGUAGCCGGCCUGAGAGGGUGGACGGCCACAUUGGAACUGAGACACGGUCCAGACUCCUACGGGAGGUAGCAGCUAAGAAUCUUCCGCAAUGGGCGAAAGCCUGACGGGAAGCGACGCCGCGUGAACGAAGAAGGCCGUGAGGUUGUAAAGUUCUUUUCGGGAGGGGAACAACCGUGGCAGGGAAUGGCCGCGGGAUGACGUGAAUCCCGGAAUAAGCCCCGGCUAACUACGUGCCAGCCGCGGC
rnacentral:rRNA from 1 species